AGCCAGGCAUGAUACUGCAUGCUAAUUCAAAUUGUUCAGUGCUGGCUGUCUUUGUCUCUAACUCCCCAAGAGUGGAGACGGUUCUUUUGCUUUCCUACAAAGUUUAAUACUGCUGCUGACAACUCAGGCCUUGUGAUCUUGCUGACUGAGAGGACCAAUAAGAUCUGGAUUUUUCAAGAUACUGGAGUUAGUUUCUGCUUUAGAUGCCAUGCGUUCUGAUGCCAGACUGAGAUGAACAGCAAAGCCACAGCCAUGGGCAGCUCUUUUUAAAAGUCCUCUGAGAUGAAGAAGAAACACAGGGUUUGAAAGGUUUGCCUGGGCAGCUCAAGGAGAAUGAAAGAGGGCAGGUCAACCAAACUCCAAGACACUCUUAAGGAAAUGGGAUAGGGGC
rnacentral:lncRNA from 1 species